GCUGGGUGUGGUGGCACACGCCUGUAAUCCCAGCGGCUGGGGAGGCUGAGGCAGGAGGAUUGCAAGUUGAAGGCCAGCCUCAG
rnacentral:sRNA from 1 species